CACUCUUGGGGUGGAUGACUUGGUUCAUGCCUUGAUGAAGAACACAGCUAGUUGCGAGAAUUAAUGUGAAUUCCAGGACACCUUGAUCAUUGACACUUCGAAUACACUUGCAGCUGAGACU
rnacentral:rRNA from 1 species